GUGAAUCAUCGAAUCUUUGAACGCACAUUGCGCCUCCCUUCGCGGGGAGGCAUGCCUGUCUGAGCGUCAUUUGAACCUAUGGGCCCCAUCGGGGCCCGUGUUGGGCCUCGUGCUCCGGCGCGUCGCCUCGAAAGGAUCGGUCGAACGAGCGGACGUGAUCCACUAGGAGACACCGUUCAGAGACCCUAAAUCUCAGAUCCGACCUCAGAUCAGGUAGGGACACCGCCUGAACUUAAGCAUAUCAAUAAGCGGAGGA
rnacentral:misc_RNA from 1 species